rnacentral:tRNA from 1 species
GCGCUCGUAGCUCAGUGGAUAGAGCGCCGGACUACGAAUCCGUAGGCCGCAAGUUCGAAUCUUGCCGGGCGCA